GUCUUAUUGAUUAUAAUUUUAAGUCUAAUCUGCCCAAUGAAUUAUUAAAUGGCUGCAGUAUUUUAACUGUACAAAGGUAGCAUAAUAAUUAGUUUCUUAAUUAGGAACUGGAAUGAAUGAUUGAACGAGAUAGUAACUGUCUUAAUUUAAAUAGAAGAAUUUUAUUUUUAAGUUAAAAAGCUUAAAUAUGUUUAAAAGACGAGAAGACCCUAUAGAAUUUUAUAAUAUAUUAUUUUAUAAUUUUUAGUAAAAUAUUUUUAUAUUUAUAUAUAUAUAUUAUUUUGUUGGGGUGAUUGAAAAAUUUAAUUAACUUUUUUUUUAUUUAUACAUUAAUUUAUGUAUAAUUGAUCCAAUUUUUUUGAUUAUAAGAAUAAAUUACCUUAGGGAUAACAGCGUAAUUUUUUUAGAGAGUUCUAAUCGAUAAAAAAGAUUGCGACCUCGAUGUUGGAUUAAAAUUAAUUUUUAAUGUAGAAGUUAAAAAUAUUAGGUCUGUUCGACCUUUAAAAUUUUACAUGAUCUGAGUUUAAAUCGGCGUGAGCCAGGUUGGAUUCUAUCUUUAAUAAAUUAUAAUAUUUUAGUACGAAAGGACCAAAUAUUUAUUAUAGUAGUUAAAAUUGAAUAAUA
rnacentral:rRNA from 1 species